GUUAGCCUCAAAAACUUUAUAGGGCCUUUAGCUAGUCUUCUUAAUAAUUAUUACCGUAAGGGGCGUUACAGCUUUCAUCUUCAAUCACUGCCACACAUUGGAUUAGCUUGCUGUGUUUACUGCAGACGAAACAAGGAGCACGGGCUAAGUGCAUUCUUUCCGCUGGGAGUGAUCGUCGCGCCAUAUUUACUACAGCCAGGACUUCCUUCCCUCAGCGGUAGGAUUGAGAAACUCCCCGAGCCAACUAUUAGAACAUCAGAUCGUUCUACUCAUUCAACCAAUGCGCAUAGCGCCUUAAGUAAGGUGUCGUGUCGCUACGGAUCACUGUCCCACCUCAGUGUAGCUAAGGAUAUAUGACUAAUCCAUUUCACACACGUCGCGAGGAAACCUUGUAAGAGGGAAAUCGUUGUAUACGUAAGACAGCGACAAAAAACAGCAUCCUCUAAGGGAACAAAACAACCGUUGUCGACGGGCAGGAAAAAAAAUGA